GCCGCGGUAGUUCAGUUGGUUAGAAUAUCGGCCUGUCACGCCGAGGGUCGCGGGUUCGAGCCCCGUCCGCUGCGCCA
rnacentral:tRNA from 1 species